GAGGGGAAUAUUGGACAAUGGGCGAAAGCCUGAUCCAGCCAUGCCGCGUGAGUGAUGAAGGCCUUAGGGUUGUAAAGCUCUUUUGUCCGGGAAGAUAAUGACUGUACCGGAAGAAUAAGCGCCGGCUAACUUCGUGCCAGCAGCCGCGGUAAUACGAAGGGGGCUAGCGUUGCUCGGAAUCACUGGGCGUAAAGGGCGCGUAGGCGGACUUUUAAGUCGGAGGUGAAAGCCCAGGGCUCACCCCUGGAAUUGCCUUCGAUACUGGGAGUCUUGAGUUCGGAAGAGGUUGGUGGAACUGCGAGUGUAGAGGUGAAAUUCGUAGAUAUUCGCAAGAACACCGGUGGCGAAGGCGGCCAACUGGUCCGAAACUGACGCUGAGGCGCGAAAGCGUGGGGAGCAAACAGGAUUAGAUACCCGUGUAGUCC
rnacentral:rRNA from 1 species